GAGUAUCUUGGAGGUGUGUAGCAU
rnacentral:piRNA from 1 species